CGAGAGGAGUUAUAGGAAAAGCCAACCUCACCUAAAACAGUUAUGAUGAUUUAUCUUUACAUCUGUUUGAGGAGCCUACAGGAAAUGCAAAUUAUACAGAU
rnacentral:sRNA from 1 species